rnacentral:rRNA from 1 species
AGCAGUCGCGGUUAAAAAGCUCGUAGUUGGAUUUCUGCCGAGGACGACCGGUCCGCCCUCUGGGUGAGCAUCUGGGACUGCCUGGGCAUCCUCUUGGGGAACGUAGCUGCACUUGACCGUGUGGUGCGGUAUCCAGGACUUUUACUUUGAGGAAAUUAGAGUGUUUCAAGCAGGCGCACGCCUUGAAUACGUUAGCAUGGAAUAAUAAGAUAGGACCUCGGUUCUGUUUUGUUGGUUUCUAGAGCUGAGGUAAUGAUUAAUAGGGAUAGUUGGGGGCAUUCGUAUUUAGCUGUCAGAGGUGACAUUCUUGGAUUUGUUAAAGACAGACUACUGCGAAAGCAUUUGCCAAGGAUGUUUUCA